rnacentral:ncRNA from 1 species
UUAAAUGCACAGAUAGGGAAGAGUAGCUUCCGAACCCUUUUCAGAGAGAGGAAUCCAUUGGCUGGGAGGUUCCUUAGGAUGUACGAGGUGAAGGUCGCCCUGGAGCAGCUUUACUGAACACAAGUAAGUAAGGUCGGCGAAAAGCCGUUAUCAUGUCGAGUGUGCCAAUGGUGAUGAUUCCAUAGGCAAACAAAGGUGGUACCGCGAGUAAACUCUCUUCGUCCUUUGA